UACAGGGGGGGCAAGCGUUGUUCGGAAUUACUGGGCGUAAAGGGCGCGUAGGCGGCCUGUUAAGUCGAACGUGAAAUCCCCGGGCUCAACCCGGGAACUGCGUCCGAUACUGGCAGGCUUGAAUCCGGGAGAGGGAUGCGGAAUUCCCAGUGUAGUGGUGAAAUACGUAGAGAUUGGGAAGAACACCAGUGGCGAAGGCGGCUAUCUGGACGGUUUCUGACGCUAAGGUGCGAAAGCGUGGGAGCAACAGG
rnacentral:rRNA from 1 species